rnacentral:ribozyme from 1 species
AGGUUACAAGUUUGACACCAUAGCAAAAGCACUCAUAGUGCAGCCUGUCAGAUUCCAGUGAAUCUGCAAAUUCUGCU